CAAGCACUAUGCUCAGCACUGCAAACUCAGUUUUGGUUUGAAAUGUUAACCCCUACAUGCCAUGGACUUGGUUAUCCCUCAGCAGGAGCUGAGGUCCUGGGGAAGCUCAGCGUCUUGCCAAGCUCAGACACCUGUUUUCAGCUUGCCAGCUUGUCUUACGGGUUUCAGAUUUAUCAGCUUCAACCAUCGCAUCAGCCAAUUCCUUAAAAUCUCUGUCUUUCCAGCUUGCAGAUAAAUGUUUUGUUCACACAGCUCAAGAUUCAGGGAGUGAACUGCAUUUCCACUUAUCAUCCUGUAAGUCUGGAGAAGCCACAGGGCCAGAGAAGACUGUGGCCAGCUCUGACAUGUUCAGCCAGCACAGUUCUCCAAUGGAAGGCUCUCUUUUGAAGAAGGUGUUUUAUUUAUCUCUGUUGUAAUUUGUUCCCAGUGGACUCAUAAUUUCACCAGCAAUAGCUGAUAUAUGGCAGAGUGUGUGUGUGCAUGGAUAUAUGUGUGUGAUGUAUUAUUACACAUAGCAGUCACUGUGGCUCACAGUGGAAAGCACACAGGUUUUGGUCUCAGGCUGGCUGGGAUGUAAAUUUCAGUGAUGAGAUUCGGUCAGAGGUUUUGGGCCCUGGAGGGGUAACCGAACCUCCUGGAGUCUCAGAUUCUUCAUGCAUAGAUUUUGGGCAUCAGAACUCUCUCUUGUCUGAUAGUUCUGAGAAUAUCAAAUCAUAAUAAAUGUUUAUUAAAUACAUCA
rnacentral:lncRNA from 13 species